rnacentral:rRNA from 1 species
GACAGAGGGGGCAAGCGUUGCUCGGAAUUACUGGGCGUAAAGAGCUCGUAGGCGGUGUGUCGCGUCGGCCGUGAAAACCUGCAGCUUAACUGUGGGCUUGCGGUCGAUACGGGCAUCACUGGAGUUCGGCAGGGGAGACUGGAAUUCCUGGUGUAGCGGUGAAAUGCGCAGAUAUCAGGAGGAACACCGGUGGCGAAGGCGGGUCUCUGGGCCGAUACUGACGCUGAGGAGCGAAAGCGUGGGGAGCGAACAGG